GACUCUCGGCAACGGAUAUCUCGGCUCUUGCAUCGAUGAAGAACGUAGCGAAAUGCGAUACUUGGUGUGAAUUGCAGAAUCCCGUGAACCAUCGAGUCUUGAACGCAAGUUGCGCCCGAAGCCAUUAGGCCGAGGGCACGUCUGCCUGGGCGUCACACACAG
rnacentral:rRNA from 1 species